GAGAGUUUGCUUACUUUGCCGAUAUCCUGGAUUAUUUUGUGUAUGGAUGUUGGAAGUUUGAGUGUUAUCACCAAUAAAUUUAAAUAAAGGAAGAGUUGCAAUUCUUACUUUGGGUCCCCAGACAAAGACGAGUAUUAGUAAUAUCGUAGUGUUGGUAACUCAAUUUGUGAAAAAUUUACACUUGUAUCACUAUUUCCAUAAAGAUCAGAAACAAGUAACAAAUUCAAAUCAUAAAGUACAAAAAA
rnacentral:lncRNA from 1 species